rnacentral:rRNA from 1 species
AAACCUAAAUGAUUAACUAACAAAAUCACUCGCCAGAAUACUACAAGCAACAGCUUAAAACUCAAAUGACUUGGCGGUGCUUCAAUCCCUUCUAGAGGAGCCUGUUCUAUAAUCGAUAAACCCCGAUAAACUUCACCACCUCUUGCUAAUUCAACCUAUAUACCGCCAUCCCCAGCAAACCCUACCAAGGUUACAAAGUAAGCCCAUACAUUCAACAUAAAAACGUUAGGUCAAGGUGUAGUCCAUGAGGUGGAAAGAAAUGGGCUACAUUCUCUAACAUCAGUACAAUAACAUACUACUUCCUCUAUGAUACUUGAGGUCAAAGGAGGACUUAUUAAUUCGCCGAUAAUAGAGAGUUCUCAUGACCAAUGACACGAAGCACGUACUCAUCGCCCG